CUACGGACUUGAUUGUAUUGAGCCUUGGUAUGGAAACCUGCUAAGUGGCACUUCCAAAUUCAGAGAAACCCUGGAAUUAAAAAAGGGGCAAUCCUAAGCCAAAUUCAUGUUUUGAGAAAACAAGCGGUUCUCGAACUAGAACCCAAAGGAAAAGGAUAGGUGCAGAGACUCAAUGGAAGCUGUUCUNN
rnacentral:ribozyme from 1 species